UAGGGAAUCUUCCGCAAUGGACGCAAGUCUGACGGAGCAACGCCGCGUGAGUGAAGAAGGAUUUCGGUUCGUAAAACUCUGUUGUUAGAGAAGAACAGCGCAUAGAGUAACUGUUAUGCGUGUGACGGUAUCUAACCAGAAAGCCACGGCUAACUACGUGCCAGCAGCCGCGGUAAUACGUAGGUGGCAAGCGUUGUCCGGAUUUAUUGGGCGUAAAGCGAGCGCAGGCGGUCAAUUAAGUCUGAUGUGAAAGCCCCCGGCUCAACCGGGGAGGGUCAUUGGAAACUGGUUGACUUGAGUGCAGAAGAGGAGAGUGGAAUUCCAUGUGUAGCGGUGAAAUGCGUAGAUAUAUGGAGGAACACCAGUGGCGAAGGCGACUCUCUGGGCUGUAACUGACGCUGAGGCUCGAAAGCGUGGGUAGCAAACAGG
rnacentral:rRNA from 1 species